rnacentral:rRNA from 1 species
CCCUUAGAUGUCCGGGGCCGCACGCGCGCUACACUGAAGGAAUCAGCGUGGCUCUGUCCCUGGUCCGAAAGGAUUGGGAAACCCGUUGAAUCUCCUUCGUGAUAGGGAUUGGGGCUUGGAACUGUUCCCCAUGAACGAGGAAUUCCCAGUAAGCGCGAGUCAUAAGCUCGCGUUGAUUACGUCCCUGCCCUUUGUACACACCGCCCGUCGCUCCUACCGAUUGAAUGGUCCGGUGAAGCGUUCGGACCGUGGCCUUUGGACGGUUCGCCGUCUGUUGGCUGCGGGAAGUUCGUUAAACCUUAUCAUUUAGAGGAAGGAGAANUCAUAACA